GUCUAGAGGUCAGAACGCUGGACUUGUAAUCCUGGGGUCUCGGGUUCGAUUCCCGG
rnacentral:tRNA from 1 species